AGUGAACGCUGGCGGCAGGCCUAACACAUGCAAGUCGAACGGCAGCACAAGAGAGCUUGCUCUCUGGGUGGCGAGUGGCGGACGGGUGAGGAAAACGUCGGAAUCUGCCUAUUUGUGGGGGAUAACCUCGGGAAACCGGGACUAAUACCGCAUACGACCUACGGGUGAAAGCCGGGGACCUUCGGGCCUGGCGCAGAUAGAUGAGCCGAUGUCGGAUUAGCUAGUUGGAGGGGUAAAGGCCCACCAAGGCGACGAUCCGUAGCUGGUCUGAGAGGAUGAUCAGCCACACUGGGACUGAGACACGGCCCAGACUCCUACGGGAGGCAGCAGUGGGGAAUAUUGGACAAUGGGCGCAAGCCUGAUCCAGCCAUGCCGCGUGAGUGAAGAAGGCCCUCGGGUUGUAAAGCUCUUUUGUUGGGAAAGAAAAGCAGCCGGUUAAUACCCGGUUGUUCUGACGGUACCCAAAGAAUAAGCACCGGCUAACUUCGUGCCAGCAGCCGCCGUAA
rnacentral:rRNA from 1 species